UUGCAGAGCCGUGUUUAAGGGGGUUACUGACUGUUCCUGCAUAUUUCAACUGGCGUGAAGUGCUUGAUGGAGUCCAGCUGGGUUAUUUUGGCAAGGGUCCCUGCAGUUAUGCCAUUGGAAGGAUCAGGUUAAUAUUUAAAGAAACUGGCUAAAGAAUCUGGUUUGCUGGCUGGGGAUCCCUCCACCUUCUGAGUAUUCUAGAAAGGGGUUCCUGGGUUGGAAGCCAGCAUAGAGGAUGAGCCUGGAUUCCCCUACUACCUAUUGUGGAAGUAGCACUACUAAGGGUCAGUGAAUGGAAAGACUGUUUUGGACACUGGGUCCUGAGAGACUUUGAUACCCUGGAAGGGGAUGGCUACAAUGACAUGGCCAGAGGACCACGCCAGAAAGCAGUUGAGUCCCAAGUGAGCCAGACAAGGAGAGUGAUGGAGUGCAACUGCAGGAAGGAGUAUCAUCCUGGUGACACUUUUCCAUUUUAGACCUGAACCAAGGAGGAUGUGACAUGUUAAGGGCUAAGUCACAGAUUUAAAUAGCAGAGAUUCAGGUAGUUUAAACUACAUUAAAAAAACCCACCCAC